GCGGCUAUGGUGUAACGGUUAACACUGCAGCUUGUGGAGCUGUCAAUGAGAGUUCGAUUCUCUCUAGCCGCC
rnacentral:tRNA from 1 species